UAAGCAUUGCUCAAUGCUAAGUCGGUUGGAGACGACGCGGAAUUAUGUCUUGUAGCACGACGCCCAGAGUCUUGUCCGAUACCGUCAGACAUUUAGAAGGUGAGAAUAAACGGCGGUACGUGUAAAAAUUAGAUAAACUCGGCAUGGAGGCAGUCAGUGUUUUCGCCGAUAAGAAAUUGGACUGUCAAUCCGCUUCCGCUUGUCUUGGACAACUGGAUAUGCCCUUGGAUCUGUGGAAUCCUGGAACGUUUCCAAGUGGGUGGAUCAGCAACGUCCGUAUAUUGUACCGUAGGUCUUUCGUUUCUAUGCAUCCGUAAUUUCCUCACAGCGCUGGUUCUUUUGUGCUUGCAGCUUAAAAAAAAAAAAAAAAAUGACACCAUGCAUCCACUUCCGUAAAGAAAGAUUUGAAAGGUUCAUUGAAAGUCUUGCUGUGAUCCUUUGCGGUUUCCGGGGGACCGCCGUUGUAAAUUCCACUAGGACGUCUCCCCGGGAGGUUUCAUUGCGGCCGUUCGUAUUCAUGAUCCAGUGCUGCUCCCAUUCAACGGCACCCGAGUUCCGGUUCGCUGCUUUAUCACACGCAGGCCUCGCGGGGAGGAAGCAGCUGAGGUGAGACAGACUCCGGCUGUUGUGUGGUGAAAGGAAUGGCAAAUUCGCGGAACAGGAGGGGAAGACGUUGGUUUCACGCCGUCAGAGCGGACUCGGUGCCGGAAGUACAUAGUGUGUCCGGUGGUGAUGAAGAGCACAGAAAUGAGAACUAGGAUGCCAAAAUGCUGCGGCUGUGGAGCAGAGAUGACCAUUAUGAAGUGGAGCAGGUCCAUCAGGAGAUGAUUCUUACCCACAUUGACAACGCUCCACUGACAUAGAUGAGGAACUUGGGACCCUUGAGAUGAGCUCACCUGGUAUGCUCGUGGCUUUCUUGGCUCUGGCAUUUGUGAUGUCAUCAGGCUCGAACUCGACCACAACGCCACCGAAUUGGGAGGACUCGGCUCGCCGGGACAUCGCCUGCGGAAGACGGCAAACUUGUCGUACAUCGGCCCGGAGGAGAAUAGGACUCGGACAAACAAAAGAAGACGUCGGUGCUGUCAAACUAAAUGCAGUCUUGAGGUCUAAAAACAUCAGUGAGUGCAAUGAAAGGUAUGGCGAUGGUGGGGAUGCCGGCCAGGAUGAAGAUGAUCGCGUAGAUCCACGGUGGAUACGACUUCUCCUCCAGAGUUGGGAAUUUCUCCUGAAAACGGCGCAUAUUCGAAGUGUGAAAAGAAACUUGAGCCCACUCAAAGAUCCCUUCAGCGUCAGUCCUCUGACCAGAAAGAUGGUCAGCACCACGUACGGCAGCGUUGAAGUCACGUAUACAGC